rnacentral:lncRNA from 1 species
CUACUAUUUGUUCUCACAAGUUUACUUAAGAGAAGAAGGCAAUUUGGGAUCAAGUCUUGUUAUGCUUUUUGAGGAUUAUAGUUUUUAUAACUUUGCUGAUAACAUAAGAAGUGAAACUGACCAAGGCAAGAUGGGAAGAAAAAGUAGUGUGUAUUCUUUUUAAGAAUUAAUUGUAAGAAUUUGAAAAAAAAAAGAAUUUCUAGAUGUUUUUUCUAUCUCAAAAGCUAGAUGGAAAGCAAAGUAACUGACACCACAUCUCUUCUAUUCCUACUAACCUACUGGUAGGGUUGUAUGAUGGAAAAUGUAUGCCAAAGUAUACUCAAAAAGCUCAACCACGUCUGCUAACACUGGGAUCUUAGCUGUGAUGCAGGCUCCUCCUGAUGAAACUUAACACCAGAAAAAGAAACAUUCCUUCUAUUCCAGAAACCACUGUUACAUGGGAGACAUACUGGGAAAAAGUAAGUAGAUCUACAAAGUACAGCUAUUGUUUGUGGCCUAGGAUGACCCAUAUUUUUCAUGACAGUAGUUUCAUAGGAAGUGACAUUCAAUUUUUUUUUUCAUGGCCACUAUAGCAAGGCAUUUUUUUAAAGAUUUAAUAUAUUUACUUAAAGGCAAAAUUACAGAGAGAGGGGGACAUACAGAGGAAGAGGAAGAAAGAGAGAGAUCUUACAUCUUCUGGUUCACUCCCCAAAAGACCUCGACAGCUGGGGUGGUGUCAGGCUAAAGCCAGGAGCCUGGAGCUUCUUCUGGGUCUUGCAUGUGGAUGCAGGGGCUCAACUACUUAGGCCAUCUUCUCCUGCUUUCCUAGGUGCAUUAGCAGGGAGCUGCAUCAGAAAUAGAGCAUCCUGUACAGGAUACACAGAUGGCAGCUUCAUCCACCACACCACAAUGCCAGCCCCUGCCAAGGAGUAUUACAAAGGACAAACGAAUGUGGAAAAAAAAGUUUCAACAUGGCUAUUGGAGGGCAGAUUAAUCUUGCUGAUCACUGGUAAUGCUUGCUGGAACCAAACUUCUUGCCUGCUGAGUAUUCUACAAUCAUGUGAGAGCAUCUCACUCACAGCUACUACAAGUUGUUCAACCAAGUCAUCCUAGAAGAUGUGGUUCCUGAUUUAGAGCUAGCUGUGAGUGGUAUCAGGCUGUUUUAAGAAGGUAUUCAUUUAUUCUUUAAAUAGAAUUUUUUUCAAUUAAUAGUGCCUUCCUCUAUAAUUUUGUAAAGUAAAAUUAUAUUUUAUUCAUAUCACAGGACUGUACAUGUGGUCUUAGCAUCUACCUAUGUAUUUCUAUAAAUAAUUUGUAAAAC